AGAAUCAACGCUGGCGGCGUGCCUAACACAUGCAAGUCGAACGAGAAAGUGGAGCAAUCCAUGAGUACAGUGGCGUACGGGUGAGUAACACGUGACUACCUACCCUCGAGUGGGGAAUAACCUCGGGAAACCGGGGCUAAUACCGCAUAACAUCUACGGAUCAAAUGCGUAAGCAGCUUGAGGAGGGGGUCGCGGCCGAUUAGCUAGUUGGUGAGGUAAUGGCUCACCAAGGCAAUGAUCGGUA
rnacentral:rRNA from 1 species